ACGCUCGACACCUACGGGAGCAGCAGUGGGGAAUAUUGCACAAUGGGGGAAACCCUGAUGCAGCGACGCCGCGUGAGCGAAGAAGUAUCUCGGUAUGUAAAGCUCUAUCAGCAGGGAAGAAGAUGACGGUACCUGACUAAGAAGCACCGACUAAAUACGUGCCGACAGCCGCGGUAAUCUGAGCGGGCGUGGCAAGGC
rnacentral:rRNA from 1 species